UUAUUUGUAAAUGAGUGUGAAUGAAAGAAAGUUGAAAGUGGGUGGGAUAUUUCUUUCCCUAGCCAUACACGUAUCCACCCCAAUUUUCCACUUCUCUUAUCUGAUUUUGCUGCCCCAAAAGUCUUCACACUUUUCUUAUUUUCUUGGCUGCAUCAGAUCAGAAGUCCAGCCCCUCUUUCUCUACUCCUUUUCCUCUUUCUUUGUUCUUCUUUCUCUCUUCUUCCUUUGCUUCUACACGGCAGCCCUCCCUUUCUCACCAACACAAUAUAUUCCUCUCUAAAGAAGAAAUUAAAGGGUUAACACUAAAAUUUCAGCUUCCAAGUUUGUGGGUGUUACCAGUAUCCAAGUUUAAGCUCCGUCGACUGUAGGCUCUCAGUUCCUCUGCUUUCAAGUAAGGGAUAAGUUAUAUAGGCAUUUGGUAAGUCAUGAGGUUAUUUUAAAAUAUAUUAUGCAUUAAAAUGUUUUUGAUUAGAGAUAUGACAUGUAAUAAUUAUUCUGACAAAGAUAUGUUCGUGAGCUUUCGAAAAACUUAUGUAUAUGAUUUAAGCAUAUUGAUGCUAUUAUUGAUUCCACGAACAUGAUGUUUAAAGAAAAGAAUGGAUAUGUUAUUAUUAUGAAAUGUUAUGCAAAAUAAGAAGUUUCAGUAUGAUGUAAAACUAUGAAAUGUUUUCGGGUUAUGUCCUCUGGUGAUCUGAACUCGGCUAGUAGGGGUUAAUUACUGGCUUUCCAUGGAAAAAUGUUAUAUGUUUGGCCAUUUAAAGUAGAGGAAAUGGGGCUACCUGUAACUCUAGGCCAUUUAAAGUAAAGGAAAUGGGGUUGCCCGUAACUCUAAUCUGAAUAAGGCCUUCUCCCCAAUGUGUACGGACGGCGGGGAGGAACAAAACCUAGAGGAGAUGUGCCAUCAGGCCUUCCAAAGGGGACAAUAUCAUACACAUAAGGGCACCCAAAUGUGAUGAGGCCUUUUCUGUACAGCUUAUCAGACAUGGACUAACCAAUAUGUUAUGAACAGCUAUGUUAUAUUAUUAAUCAUGAGAGAAUUAUUUUGUUUAAAUGCAUUGUGAAAAGUGAAAGCUCUCAUGGCAAGAAGAAGUUUAUAAUGAAAAGAAAAGCUGUUCAUUGAAGAUAAAAGUUUCUGAAAGUCUGUUAUGCUAUAAAGUUAGUAGGUUUUAUUUUGGAGCAGAGGGAGCCUUAGUCGAGUUUGGAAGGAGCUGGUUUUAGUUUUAUAUGUAUAGAUCCUAAAUUAGCAAAAUGAUGUUUAGAUUUGUAGCAUUGUUUAUUUUAGGAUCUAAUGAAAGUGUAUACCUUAAAGUAUUAAGAGAUGUAUUAUGUUAAAGUAUUAAGAGAUGUAUUAUGUGAAAGUAUGAAAUUAAAUGACUGGUGGAUUAUGUUA